rnacentral:rRNA from 1 species
ACGGAGGAAAGGAAACCAACAGGGAUUGCCUCAGUAGCGGCGAGUGAAGCGGCAAGAGCUCAGAUUUGAAAUCUCACCUAGUGUGCGAGUUGUAAAUUGCAGGUUGGAGUCUCGGGUUAGACGUGUGUGCAAGUCCCUUGGAACAGGGUGCCACUGAGGGUGAGAGCCCCGUAGCGUGCAUGUCGACACCUGUGAGGCCCUUCUGACGAGUCGAGUUGUUUGGGAAUGCAGCUCUAAGUGGGUGGUAAAUUCCAUCUAAGGCUAAAUAUUGGCGAGAGACCGAUAGCGAACAAGUACUGUGAAGGAAAGAUGAAAAGCACUUUGAAAAGAGAGUGAAACAGCACGUGAAAUUGUUGAAAGGGAAGGGUAUUGGGCUCGACAUGGGAUUUACGCAUCGUUGCCUCUCGUGGGCGGCGCUCUGGGUUUUUCCUGGGCCAGCAUCGGUUUUCGUUGCAGGAUAAGGACAAUUGGAAUGUGGCUCCUCGGAGUGUUAUAGCCUUUUGUAGAUGCUGCGUAUGGGGACCGAGGGCUGCGGCGGACUCGUUUCGUCUCGGAUGCUGGCACAACGGCGCAAUACCGCCCGUCUGA